rnacentral:lncRNA from 1 species
CAAGCCCAUACACGAUAAACCGCAAGCGCAAACAUACCGAUCGAACGCACUUGUGUGCUCGUGUAUGGGCGCUUUUAGGGAAAUUUAGCAACUGUCCAGUUUGAUUAUUUAAAAAAUAACAUAGUUUAUAUUUCAAUUACAUAUGUAUGUCAAAAUUCAAAACAAAUUUAUAUUUCUAAAAAUAAGCAUUCAAUUUCAUAUUGACGGAUUGAAGUAAAAAUAUAUAAUCCUUAUUUUUCUAAAAUAUUUAUUUGUCGAAAAAAGUAGACUUCUACUUUUCGGGAGUGAUAUUUCAUGAUAUCAAUUGCCCACCCCAGAAUAUUUCCAACUCUAAUGACAAUAAAUAUACCAAUUGGUUGGCAAUGGUUAUGCUUGUGGAGAAGCGUCGUUGCGAUUUCAUUGCUACUGGGUGCGUCAAAAAUACCAUAAUGGUUUGAUAUACAUACAUUACAAGCAAUUUGGCUGCAGUUGAUUUUGUAUAAAAUAAUAAGAUAUUAAUAAAUUUCACUAUUUGCAGCUGAGUUUUACAUAUUUAUUAUUAUUUGAUUUUCUUAUAAAAUUAUAAAACUUUUCUAUAAAGCUUCGCAGUAUUAGCGUUUCGAUUCUCAGAAUGUUUUCGUUUCAGUACUUGCUUACAUUGAAAUUAUCGAAACAAAACAAACUAGGAAAUAUGUUUAUUUUCCUUAAUUUGUAUACUCAUUUCAAAAUGAAUUCCGCCGAGAUUUAGAUCGAUUUAACAAUAACCAUAACUCUACAUCAUGAAGGACGCAAAAUAUUAAAUAUUAUAUUUGAAAUCCGUAAAACGAAAAUUUUCGGAAGGGCUUAAAGACUUCUUAAAUUGGAAUAUUCAACUUUUGUGCAAUAUUUUGAUAUUUGCUGCGAUGUCCAGAAAAGUUCCAGUGCUUACAUAAGUACAUAUGUCAGAAGCGAGAUUCAGUUUACUUUAUAAUUUGACAAAGCAGGGUCUAGCUAAACAUCAAUACCCGUCCGCGACAAUAGGCUCUAAAUAAUCGGAACGGACACGGAUUUUAAUCCGUCCAAGGACUGUCUCAACUCGACACCUCUACGAAAUUUGUCCAGAAAUGUUUUUUGCCACUCCAACGACAACAACUCGUCAGCGAUUAUCUUUAUGUGUUUGGCAAAUGAAGGAAGUUUAGAAAUAUUCACAUCAGCAUACUACUGUGGAUACUAUGAGCUAAACUUGUGAAGUACUUUGAAACUUGUCGGUUAAAUAUUUACCCGGUAGAAAAAGGGAAUUGUACUUUGUGUAUCUAAAACCGACAAUAAAAGAUAGAAAUCUA